GACGAACGCUGGCGGCGUGCUUAACACAUGCCAGUCGUACGGUAAGGCCCUUUCGGGGGUACACGAGUGGCGAACGGGUGAGUAACACGUGAGUAACCUGCCCACAACUUUGGGAUAACGCUAGGAAACUGGUGCUAAUACUGGAUAUGUGCCCCUGCUGCAUGGUGGGGGUUGGAAAGCUCCGGCGGUUGUGGAUGGACUCGCGGCCUAUCAGCUUGUUGGUGGGGUAGUGGCCUACCAAGGCGGCGACGGGUAGCCGGCCUGAGAGGGUGACCGGCCACAUUGGGACUGAGAUACGGCCCAGACUCCUACGGGAGGCAGCAGUGGGGAAUAUUGCACAAUGGGCGCAAGCCUGAUGCAGCAACGCCGCGUGCGGGAUGACGGCCUUCGGGUUGUAAACCGCUUUCAGCAGGGACGAAGCUUUUUGUGACGGUACCUGCAGAAGAAGCACCGGCUAACUACGUG
rnacentral:rRNA from 1 species